AGGUAACUCUAAUCCUGAACCUGA
rnacentral:siRNA from 1 species